UCAAACUUGGUCAUUUAGAGGAAGUAAAAGUCGUAACAAGGUUUCCGUAGGUGAACCUGCGGAAGGAUCAUUAACUAAUACACGGUAGAAAUAUUCUACCUAUAACCUUUGUGCAUAGCCUUUACUCGGUAGAGUAAUGGACACACGCGGCAUGCGUGGAUCUAUAUGUUUUAGAGUCUUAAUUAUAAAUUAAUAUUUAAAAACAACUUUUAACAAUGGAUCUCUAGGCUCUUGCAUCGAUGAAGAACGCAGC
rnacentral:misc_RNA from 1 species